GCAAGCCCUGACUCGCUCACGGUGUGGCUCAGUGAUCGAUGGGGGUCCCGGGGGUGUCUACUCCUCUGCUCCGUGUCCAUGCACGGCGCCCUAGGUCAGCUCUGCUCCGUGUCCGUGCACGGCGCCCCAGGUCAGCUCUGCUCCGUGUCCGUGCACGGCGCCCCAGGUCAGCUCUGCUCCGUGUCCGUGCACGGCGCCCCAGGUCAGCUCUGCUCCGUGUCCGUGCACGGCGCCCCAGGUCAGCUCUGCUCCGUGUCCGUGCACGGCGCCCCAGGUCAGCUCUGCUCCGUGUCCGUGCACGGCGCCCCAGGUCAGCUCUGCUCCGUGUCCGUGCACGGCGCCCCAGGUCAGCUCUGCUCCGUGUCCGUGCACGGUGCCCUAGGUCAGCUCUGCUCUGGCUUCCAGGAGGUCGUCUUCGUUUUCCCUGUCUCCUUGCCUGUGUUUAUUAGGUCCCUUUCG